GACGAACGCUGGCGGCGUGCUUAACACAUGCAAGUCGAACGCUGAAGCUCAGCUUUUGUUGGGUGGAUGAGUGGCGAACGGGUGAGUAACACGUGAGUAACCUGCCCCCUUCUUUGGGAUAACGCCCGGAAACGGGUGCUAAUACUGGAUAUUCACUGGUCUUCGCAUGGGGGUUGGUGGAAAGGGUUUUUCUGGUGGGGGAUGGGCUCGCGGCCUAUCAGCUUGUUGGUGGGGUGAUGGCCUACCAAGGCUUUGACGGGUAGCCGGCCUGAGAGGGUGACCGGUCACAUUGGGACUGAGAUACGGCCCAGACUCCUACGGGAGGCAGCAGUGGGGAAUAUUGCACAAUGGGCGCAAGCCUGAUGCAGCGACGCCGCGUGAGGGAUGGAGGCCUGCGGGUUGCGAACCUCUUUCGCUCAUGGUCAAGCCGCAACAAUGGUUGUGGUGAGGGUAGUGGGUAAAGAAGCGCCGGCUAACUACGUG
rnacentral:rRNA from 1 species